UGCGUACAAGGAAAGGCGCAUGCCGGUAAGGAUGUCGGUCAGGACAUCGCAGGAUGCGAUUCAUCAGGAUGAUGAACCAGGGAAGAAAGAGUGGGCGGGUUAUCCCGCCCCUUUUUUU
rnacentral:sRNA from 1 species